rnacentral:rRNA from 1 species
UACAGAGGUCUCAAGCGUUGUUCGGAUUCAUUGGGCGUAAAGGGUGCGUAGGUGGCGCCGUAAGUCGGGGUGUGAAAUUUCGGGAGCUUAACUCCGAAAACUGCAUUCGAUACUGCGGGUGCUUUGGGGGACUGGAGAGGAGACUGGGAAUUCAUGGGUGUAGCAGUGAAAUGCGUAGAGAUCAUGAGGAAGACCAGUGGCGAAGGCGGGUCUCUGGACAG